rnacentral:lncRNA from 1 species
CGGGGGUGGGGUGGGGAAUGGAUAGUGUGUUUUCACUGAACAGAGCAAACCUCUUUAAUUUGUACACUGCAGAGUCUGCACGUAAAGCUAACACCCGGACCUGCUAAUUCAGGCUCCACGUGCGUGAUUAAUAAUGCAGAAGAAGAAAGCUUGAGAGUUACUGUGCUGCGUGGGUUCUGGGAGGCAGCAAUCAUUGCCCGUCACUGACGAUGUGGGCUAACAAGUUCCAGAAAUGGUCCAAACAGACUUCAACAAUUCUGUGCUAAAAUUAUGGUCUUGUGAGGAGGAUUCAAGCUCAUCUGUACUCUACCACCACCUCUGCCUCCUGUAGAUCAAACAGCCAGAGAUUCCUGUUUCUUCAAGAGGCCUGCAACCACCCCCACCCUUGAAGGCCAAUGAUAAGUAGUUGUGGAAAAUGGAUUUCUGACUAUCCAGCCUCCUAAGAUUAAGAAAUGGACGUCUGAGGGAGAAGAUGAGGUAAACUAGCUAGCUAGUUGGUGAUGGGGGAAACGGAGGCAGUCAAGGCAUUCACUAGAUGCUGCGUCACCUAGUGGCUAGAGGUUGUGGGACAGUGGGACAUCCUGUGACUACUCAGACAGUAAGGGACCAUCCCAAGCUGACUGGAACCAAUAUGGCUGACAGAUGACCUCUAAAUAGCCCUUACUCAUAGUAAUGGCUCGUCCAUCUGAUUAGCCUCUACUAGACACCUGACCCCACUGCAUAUUUAAAAGCCUACAUAAGAAUGGAUAAGGGAAAAUGUGCUCUGUUCCCGGAGAAUCCUAGUCCUGAUCCUGAAAUUUUA